rnacentral:lncRNA from 1 species
UUACAACAGUUGGAUCAGUCCGGGACUUUGAAUCAUCCAAAAUUUGUUCUGCUUUGAGGCAAACCACCCUCUUAACUGUUUACUUCUUUCUGCUUAAUGCAGUGUCAACUGGGGGACCAGAUCUAUCUUAUUUCCUAGUAGCAAACUGAAAUAGUUUUCUAUGAGAAGUGCUGCAGUUUUUUACUGUACACAUACAAACCUUUGUUAAGAUUAUAAUUGUUUCCUACCAUCAGUGAUUCUUCUUUUUUCUUGUUCUACUUUCUAGCUCUCAGUAUUGUUCUGUGUCUUGGAACUGCAGGUUUUCCACAAAAGAAAAUUUGGUUGUGUCAAGAGAUAAGAAUAAACCUCCUCUUCAAAAAUGCAGAGGAAAAUUACAGCACUUGUGAAAGGGAAAAUUUGGUUAUAAGAGCAAAAUAAACAGAAGAGAAAGACCUACAUCCAUAUGGCUGAUUCAUUCCUGCUGAGUCCACUUGUUGGAUUAGUUGCAAAUAUUUAAGCAUUUACCAUUCAAUAUAAAAACACUACAGAGCUUAACCAUUAUAACCACUGUACCACUCACUAUUUGGAAUUACCUGUGUUACCCUUGCAAUGACAAGAAAUGCCAAUAAAAGAUAAUACAGA